rnacentral:rRNA from 1 species
CAGUCGCCGCGGUAAUACGUAGGUGGCAAGCGUUGUCCGGAAUUAUUGGGCGUAAAGGGCUCGCAGGCGGUUUCUUAAGUCUGAUGUGAAAGCCCCCGGCUCAACCGGGGAGGGUCAUUGGAAACUGGGAAACUUGAGUGCAGAAGAGGAGAGUGGAAUUCCACGUGUAGCGGUGAAAUGCGUAGAGAUGUGGAGGAACACCAGUGGCGAAGGCGACUCUCUGGUCUGUAACUGACGCUGAGGAGCGAGAGCGUGGGGAGCGAACAGGAUUAGAGACCCGAGUAGUCCCUGUCUCUUAUAA